rnacentral:rRNA from 1 species
UACGAAGGGGGCUAGCGUUGCUCGGAAUUACUGGGCGUAAAGCGCACGUAGGCGGCUUCUUAAGUCAGGGGUGAAAUCCUGGAGCUCAACUCCAGAACUGCCUUUGAUACUGGGAAGCUCGAGUUCGGGAGAGGUGAGUGGAACUGCGAGUGUAGAGGUGAAAUUCGUAGAUAUUAGGAAGAACACCAGUGGCGAAGGCGGCUCACGGGUCCGGUACUGACGCUGAGGUGCGAAAGCGUGGGGAGCAAACAGG